CAGCCGCCGCGGGAAAACCGAGGGUGCAAGCGUUAAUCGGAAUUACUGGGCGUAAAGCGCGCGUAGGUGGUUUGUUAAGUUGAAUGUGAAAUCCCCGGGCUCAACCUGGGAACUGCAUCCAAAACUGGCAAGCUAGAGUAGGGCAGAGGGUGGUGGAAUUUCCUGUGUAGCGGUGAAAUGCGUAGAUAUAGGAAGGAACACCAGUGGCGAAGGCGACCACCUGGGCUCAUACUGACACUGAGGUGCGAAAGCGUGGGGAGCAAACAGGAUUAGAUACCCCAGUAGUCCCUGUCUCUUAUAC
rnacentral:rRNA from 1 species